rnacentral:rRNA from 1 species
UCACUUUAACACUGAGGCGUGACGACGAGGCACUACGGUGCUGAAGCAACAAAUGCCCUGCUUCCAGGAAAAGCCUCUAAGCAUCAGGUAACAUCAAAUCGUACCCCAAACCGACACAGGUGGUCAGGUAGAGAAUACCAAGGCGCUUGAGAGAACUCGGGUGAAGGAACUAGGCAAAAUGGUGCCGUAACUUCGGGAGAAGGCACGCUGACACGUAGGUGAAGUGAUUUACUCACGGAGCUGAAGUCAGUCGAAGAUACCAGCUGGCUGCAACUGUUUAUUAAAAACACAGCACUGUGCAAACACGAAAGUGGACGUAUACGGUGUGACGCCUGCCCGGUGCCGGAAGGUUAAUUGAUGGGGUCAGCGCAAGCGAAGCUCCUGAUCGAAGCCCCGGUAAACGGCGGCCGUAACUAUAACGGUCCUAAGGUAGCGAAAUUCCUUGUCGGGUAAGUUCCGACCUGCACGAAUGGCGUAAUGAUGGCCAGGCUGUCUCCACCCGAGACUCAGUGAAAUUGAACUCGCUGUGAAGAUGCAGUGUACCCGCGGCAAGACGGAAAGACCCCGUGAACCUUUACUAUAGCUUGACACUGAACAUUGAGCCUUGAUGUGUAGGAUAGGUGGGAGGCUUUGAAGCGUGGACGCCAGUCUGCGUGGAGCCGACCUUGAAAUACCACCCUUUAAUGUUUGAUGUUCUAACGUGGACCCGUUACCCGGGUUGCGGACAGUGUCUGGUGGGUAGUUUGACUGGGGCGGUCUCCUCCUAAAGAGUAACGGAGGAGCACGAAGGUUGGCUAAUCCUGGUCGGACAUCAGGAGGUUAGUGCAAUGGCAUAAGCCAGCUUGACUGCGAGCGUGACGGCGCGAGCAGGUGCGAAAGCAGGUCAUAGUGAUCCGGUGGUUCUGAAUGGAAGGGCCAUCGCUCAACGGAUAAAAGGUACUCCGGGGAUAACAGGCUGAUACCGCCCAAGAGUUCAUAUCGACGGCGGUGUUUGGCACCUCGAUGUCGGCUCAUCACAUCCUGGGGCUGAAGUAGGUCCCAAGGGUAUGGCUGUUCGCCAUUUAAAGUGGUACGCGAGCUGGGUUUAGAACGUCGUGAGACAGUUCGGUCCCUAUCUGCCGUGGGCGCUGGAGAACUGAGGGGGGCUGCUCCUAGUACGAGAGGACCGGAGUGGACGCAUCACUGGUGUUCGGGUUGUCAUGCCAAUGGCACUGCCCGGUAGCUAAAUGCGGAAGAGAUAAGUGCUGAAAGCAUCUAAGCACGAAACUUGCCCCGAGAUGAGUUCUCCCUGAGACUUAGAGUCUCCUGAAGGAACGUUGAAGACGACGACGUUGAUAGGCCGGGUGUGUAAGCGCAGCGAUGCGUUGAGCUAACCGGUACUAAUGAACCGUGAGGCUUAACCUUACAACGCCGAAG